rnacentral:rRNA from 1 species
UUCCGGUUGAUCCCGCCGGAGGUCACUGCUAUCGGGGUUCGAUUAAGCCAUGCGAGUCGAGAGGGUUCGGCCCUCGGCGUACUGCUCAGUAACACGUGGAUAACCUGACCUAAGGAAGGGGAUAACUCCGGGAAACUGGGGAUAAUACCCUAUAGGUUACGGGUGCUGGAAUGCCCUGUAACCGAAAGUUCCGACGCCUUAGGAUGGAUCUGCGGCCGAUUAGGUUGUUGUCGGGGUAAUGGCCCAACAAGCCAGUGAUCGGUACGGGUUGUGGGAGCAAGAGCCCGGAGUUGGAUUCUGAGACACGAAUCCAGGCCCUACGGGGCGCAGCAGGCGCGAAAACUUUACAAUGCGGGCAACCGUGAUAAGGGAACCUCGAGUGCCUGUAUAUGCAGGCUGUCCAGGUGUCUAAAACACACCUGAAGAAAGGGCCGGGCAAGACCGGUGCCAGCCGCCGCGGUAAUACCGGCGGCUCGAGUGGUGGCCACUUUUAUUGGGCUUAAAGCGUUCGUAGCUGGGUUGUUAAGUCUCUUGGGAAAUCCGGCAGCUUAACUGUCGGGCGUCUAAGGGGUACUGGUAAUCUUGGAACCGGGAGAGGUGAGGGGUACUUCGGGGGUAGGAGUGAAAUCCUGUAAUCCUCGAGGGACCACCUGUGGCGAAGGCGCCUCACCAGAACGGCUUCGACAGUGAGGGACGAAAGCUGGGGGAGCAAACCGGAUUAGAUACCCGGGUAGUCCCAGCCGUAAACGAUGCGCGUUAGGUGUAUCGGUGACCACGAGUCACCGAGGUGCCGAAGGGAAACCGUGAAACGUGCCGCCUGGGAAGUACGGUCGCAAGGCUGAAACUUAAAGGAAUUGGCGGGGGAGCACCACAACAGGUGGAGCCUGCGGUUUAAUUGGAUUCAACGCCGGG